rnacentral:rRNA from 1 species
CCUACGGGUGGCUGCAGUGAGGAAUAUUGGUCAAUGGACGCAAGUCUGAACCAGCCAUGUAGCGUGCAGGAUGACUGCCCUAUGGGUUGUAAACUUCUUUUAUAUGGGGGUAAAACAAGGUAUGCAUACCCUCUUGUAUGUACCCUAUGAAUAAGGAUCGGCUAACUCCGUGCCAGCAGCCGCGGUAAUACGGAGGAUCCGAGCGUUAUCCGGAUUUAUUGGGUUUAAAGGGAGCGUAGAUGGGUUGUUAAGUCAGUUGUGAAAGUUUGAGGCUCAACCGUAAAAUUGCAAUUGAUACUGGCAGGCUGGAGAAUAGUUGAGGUAAGCGGAAUGCGUGGUGUAGCGGUGAAAUGCUUAGAGAUCACGAAGAACCCCGAUUGCGAAGGCAGCUUACCAAGCUGUGACUGACAUUGAUGCUCGAAAGCGUGGGGAGCAAACAGGAUUAGAUACCCGAGUAGUC